CAGGAUUAGAUACCCUGGUAGUCCACGCCGUAAACGAUGAGUGCUAAGUGUUGGAGGGUUUCCGCCCUUCAGUGCUGCAGCAAACGCAUUAAGCACUCCGCCUGGGGAGUACGACCGCAAGGUUGAAACUCAAAGGAAUUGACGGGGGCCCGCACAAGCGGUGGAGCAUGUGGUUUAAUUCGAAGCAACGCGAAGAACCUUACCAGGUCUUGACAUCCUUUGACCACUCUAGAGAUAGAGCUUCCCCUUCGGGGGCAAAGUGACAGGUGGUGCAUGGUUGUCGUCAGCUCGUGUCGUGAGAUGUUGGGUUAAGUCCCGCAACGAGCGCAACCCUUAUUGUUAGUUGCCAUCAUUUAGUUGGGCACUCUAGCGAGACUGCCGGUGACAAACCGGAGGAAGGUGGGGAUGACGUCAAAUCAUCAUGCCCCUUAUGACCUGGGCUACACACGUGCUACAAUGGGAAGUACAACGAGUUGCGAAGUCGCGAGGUUAAGCUAAUCUCUUAAAGCUUCUCUCAGUUCGGAUUGUAGGCUGCAACUCGCCUACAUGAAGCCGGAAUCGCUAGUAAUCGCGGAUCAGCACGCCGCGGUGAAUACGUUCCCGGGCCUUGUACACACCGCCCGUCACACCACGAGAGUUUGUAACACCCGAAGUCGGUGAGGUAAC
rnacentral:rRNA from 1 species